rnacentral:rRNA from 1 species
AUUGAACGCUGGCGGCAGGCCUAACACAUGCAAGUCGAGCGGACGAACGGGGCUUGCUCCUCGCUUCCGCGGCGGACGGGUGAGUAAUGACUAGGAAUCUGCCUUGUCGUGGGGGAUAAGAUCCGGUAACGGGAGCUGAUCCCGCAUCGGUCCUGAGAUAGAAAGUGGGGGUUCAUCGGAGAUCACGCUAUUAGAUGAGCCUAGGUGGGAUUUGCUAGUUGGUGGGGUAAAGGCCUACCAAGGCGACGAUCCGUAACUGGGCUGAGAGGAUGAUCAGUCACACUGGAACUGAGACACGGUCCAGACUCCUACGGGAGGCAGCAGUGGGGAAUCUUGGACAAUGGGCGAAAGCCUGAUCCAGCAACGCCGCGUGUGUGAAGAAGGUCUUCGGAUUGUAAAGCACUGUUAGUUGGGAGGAAGGGCAGUAAGAGAAUACCUUGCUGUUUUGACGGUACCAACAGAAUAAGCACCGGCUAACUUCGUG